rnacentral:rRNA from 1 species
CCCCUAGAUGUUCUGGGCCGCACGCGCGCUACACUGAACAGUUCAACAAGUCUUAACCUUGGCCGAUAGGUCUGGGUAAUCUUUGAACGCUGGUCGUGAUGGGGAUAGACUUUUGCAAUUUUUGGUCUUCAACGAGGAAUUCCUAGUAAACGCAAGUCAUCAACUUGCAUUGAUUACGUCCCUGCCCUUUGUACACACCGCCCGUCGCACCUACCGAUUGAAUGGUCCGGUGAAAUCUCGGGACGGCGGCUUGGUCGCUUGCGUCCGACUGCUGAAACUUGAUUAAACCAUAUCAUUUAGAGGAAGGUGAAGUCGUAACA